GACGAACGCUGGCGGCGUGCUUAACACAUGCAAGUCGAACGGAAAGGCCCUGCUUUUGUGGGGUGCUCGAGUGGCGAACGGGUGAGUAACACGUGAGUAACCUGCCCUUGACUUUGGGAUAACUUCAGGAAACUGGGGCUAAUACCGGAUAGGAGCUCCUGCUGCAUGGUGGGGGUUGGAAAGUUUCGGCGGUUGGGGAUGGACUCGCGGCUUAUCAGCUUGUUGGUGGGGUAGUGGCUUACCAAGGCUUUGACGGGUAGCCGGCCUGUGAGGGUGACCGGCCACAUUGGGACUGAGAUACGGCCCAGACUCCUACGGGAGGCAGCAGUGGGGAAUAUUGCACAAUGGGCGGAAGCCUGAGGCAGCAACGCCGCGUGCGGGAUGACGGCCUUCGGGUUGUAAACCGCUUUCGCCUGUGACGAAGCGUGAGUGACGGUAAUGGGUAAAGAAGCACCGGCUAACUACGUG
rnacentral:rRNA from 1 species